AGAUUGAACGCUGGCGGCAUGCCUUACACAUGCAAGUCGAACGGUAGAGUAGCAAUACUUGAGAGUGGCGAACGGGUGAGUAAUAUAUCGGAACGUGCCCAGUCGUGGGGGAUAACGUAGAGAAAUUUACGCUAAUACCGCAUACGAUCUAAGGAUGAAAGCGGGGACCGUAAGGCCUCGCGCGAUUGGAGCGGCUGAUAUCAGAUUAGGUUGUUGGUGAGGUAAAGCUCACCAAGCCGACGAUCUGUAGCUGGUUUGAGAGAACGACCAGCCACACAGGACUGAGACACGGACCCAGACUCCGUACGGGAGGACGAGCAGUGGGAAUUUUUAGGACAAGUGGGCGAAAGCCGUAGAU
rnacentral:rRNA from 1 species